AAUUAUAGAAAAAAAUAAAACCAAAAUUGAAAGUAAACCAAAACAAAAAAAAAACCAAAAAAGAACAUAAGAUGGAACCCCGAGAAAACGAUUGUAAAAUUUUAAUUAUUAUUAUUCAAUAAUAAAUACAAAAAAGGAAAGAUUUGACAGAAAUACAAACAUAUACAAUUAGGUUUUAUUUCAAUCCAUAUUCCAACUUCAACACGUAAUUACCCGUAAUUGGAUCCCGGAGAGAGGAUCCUGAUGCUCAAGACCAAAACGAAAACGAAAACGAAGACCAAGAUGAAGCCGCCUUCAAAUGUCGGAAAGGUAAAUGAGUCUCGUGCUAGACAUAAGCUGAUAAUUAAGAUAUAGGCAAUGUACAAUAGAACGAGUACACAAUUACGCUAAUGCUGACACCAAGCACAUAUCUGACCAAUGUAAAUAUGUACAGAUGUUCAGUCGAUCAAUAUUCAUAAAAUCCUAUUCCUAGCAUCAUGAAUUCAUUGCAAAGCGACACUUGACACAUUGUACAAACCAAAGCUUAGUUUACUUAGUCAUAGAAAACAAGCGAACAUUAUAACCUGAAGCAAAAACAGGGCAGCACAUUGCUCUGAUAUCAUAACAUAUAUUCAAAGUGUUAAAAUUUCCCGUCUGACUAUCAAGAAAUAGAAGCUUGCAAAUUUUACUAACGAAAAAUUCUGAUUCCCUGCGCAGUUUGUCAACAACCAGCUGAAAGUUAAAUUCAAAUCCAGUCGUUCCUUUACGAUCUCCUUAUAACAGAAAUAACUAUAAAACAAAAACAUAUGUAUAUCCAGCUAGCAAAUGCCAAUCAACAGAUCUUACCCUCGAAUAUCGAAAAGCAGAAGGGAUGCUGCGUGUAUGUAUGACCAGUGUUUUACCAAAUCUCAUUUUUAUUAAACAACAACCAACAAUGGGAAGUUGACAUACUGUUUUCGCAAGAAAUACUUUUCUAUUUAAUCGAAGCUUUCGGCAUGAUUUCUUUAUAUCCCACCGCUAUUUAUCCAAAAACUUCACUCUAAUUAGACCACAUUUUCUCAAAAAUUGUACAAGAUUCCCCUAUAAUCAAGUCAGAUUUCCCAAUACUCCUGCAUUGUUUUUGAAUUAGUUUUUGGCAUGUUCAAAUCCCCCUUUAGUUAUUACUGUGAUUAAAUUUAUUAACGUAUUGACGUCUAAUUUUCCCCUUGACUGCUAACUUAUUUGCGAGUAUCUCGGAGACCUGGAAGCGAAUAUAUCGUGGACAACGUUGGACACGUGCAAUUGCAGUAUACUGGAAUAUGGAACAUCAUUUAUAAUUAAUCUAGAGUAUAAAAAUGUGUGUUUUAAUUUUAUCUUUGUUAAGAUGUUUUUGUACAUCGUAUUCGAGUACAGAAAUGUAUAUUUCUAAUUUUGUUUAAAAUAAAAUUUGUAACGUUUUGAAAAACAAUGUGUAUCACAUAGACAAUCAUGACACACUACAAUUCUCUUUAGUUCUUUAUUACAAGUAAGACCACAUGUCUCCCAGUCAGUUCCCAUCGUGAUAUAUGAACCAGACUACUCUUCAAGCUUUGACUGAUCUAUUCCAUAUAUUUAUAUUUCAUAAAAAGUCAAUCAAUCUAUGUAAAAAUAAAAAGGGAGGGUACAUAUACACAUACUAAAUGCGAGUACGAAUCAUCCUUCACAUAUUCACCAAUUUCUAUGUGUUGAAAUUUCAGGAAUUUCUAUAUGACUGGGGACUGCUAUUGUGUCCGUUAUUAUUACUUAAGAUGAUGUAUAUGUAUUAGUUUUAAGACCUCAAAAGACAAUCACUUAUCAAAAGAAAACUGCAUUGGAUCUACUUUGGAUGGAGCAACUAUGGAGAAAGUUAAUUACGAGUCUGGUACAGCCCACGCCUAAAGAACUCUGCCCGGUAUGCAGAAACGGAUAACUUCACGGCCAGACUGACGAAAUGUGGGCAGGAGUGUUUGCGGUAGUUCCAGAUUAGUUAUUUGGAUAUAAUCGCAGACGGAAACUUUAAUACCAUAUCACCUCUGGCGUAAAUUGCUGACUGGUGAUAAAAUUAAUAUAAUAUGUCGAUUGAGCAUACACAAACAUUUAUUGAUUUCGAUAAGAAUAAAUCUCUUUGUAAGAUA